UCCCGCCUGGCCCCUCCACCCCGGCCCAGUACGUACAAAACCACCAGGGCAGCCCCACGAAGGGCUGCGGGGCCCAACACUCACCGCGCCACCGUCGCCGUCCUCCGCCCGCUGCUCCUGUCUCCUGCCGACAGUGGGCGAGCCCUGCAGCAGCUGCUCCAGGCAAGCGGUGCUGGGCAACGAAGAGCUCUUCUGGUGGGACAGGUGAGCCCCAGGCCGGCGCGCCUCCUUCCCGCUCGCCUGCCCCUCAUCGCCGGCGACCGGCACUGGCCGGCAGCCGGGUGGCGGCCCCUUGCCUGGGAAGCAGGUGCUCCCGCAGGCGGCGCAUGGCGGAGCCGGACUCGCCGUCCGGUCUACGGCUCAGCGGCCGAGCAGCCAGAGAUUGGUUGUGAGGACGAAAAGACGCGGUUCCAGCACUUGCCGCCGCCGCUUGAAGCCGCUCCACUUUGCGCCGGGAGGCAGGUCCCCCUUGCCGCUGGUCGGCGGCGGUGCGGGGGGCUCCGCAGUGCGGCGCUCGGUUCCUGCCCGCCCGCCACCGCUCCGGCCCUUACCCCCCAGCUGCAGGUUCUUCCACAGCCGGGCCUGGAAGGAUACUGCCGACUCAGAUUCGCUGGGCUUUCCCCCGGUGGUCAUCUGGGGCUCCUUGCCUGCCUCCAUCCUUCUUCUUGCGACGGAGGCGGUGGCGGCAGCAGAGCACGCCGGAGCCGGCGCCUACUCUCGGUGCUGGGCGGGCGGAGCGGAGCGCCCGCCGUCGGGAACGAGCGCAGGGUUCCACCGCGCCGCCCUCCACUCAGAGUGGCGCGACCGAGGGAGGCUGGAGCUGCAGCGCUGACGUUGAACCUAAAAGAAGGACGAAACUCUCACCUUGGCCCAGCCGGGCGGAAAGUUUGCCUCCCUAGGCCCCCCACCCUGGCUGUACCCUCGGUGGCAGCGGGCAGCGCGAAGCGAGGUGCAAGGGGAGCGGCGGCUCGGCUAUGUAUACGUGCGGCAAUGCACAUGAGGACGUAG
rnacentral:lncRNA from 1 species